rnacentral:rRNA from 1 species
AGAGUUUGAUCCUGGCUCAGGACGAACGCUGGCGGCGUGCUUAACACAUGCAAGUCUAAGGAGAAAGUUCCUUCGGGAGCAAGUAAACUGGCGAACGGGUGAGUAACGCGUAGGUAACCUACCCUUAAGCUCGGGAUAACCCACCGAAAGGUGAGCUAAUACCGGAUAAUAUCUUUCCUCAUAAGGGGUAAAGAUCAAAGGUGGCUUCGGCUAUCACUUAUGGAUGGGCCUGCGUCUGAUUAGCUAGUUGGUAAGGUAAUGGCUUACCAAAGCAAUGAUCAGUAGCUGGUCUGAGAGGGCGAUCAGCCACAUUGGGACUGAGAUACGGCCCAGACUCCUACGGGAGGCAGCAGUGGGGAAUUUUGCGCAAUGAGCGAAAGCUUGACGCAGCAACGCCGCGUGAUCGAAGAAGCUCUGCGGAGUGUAAAGAUCUGUCAUAGGGGAAGAAAAAUUCCGUUAUUAACACCAUCGGAACGUGACGGUACCCUAUAAGAAAGCCCCGGCUAACUUCGUGCCAGCAGCCGCGGUAAUACGAGGGGGGCAAGCGUUGUCCGGAUUUAUUGGGCGUAAAGAGUUCGUAGGCUGGUUGGUCAGUCGAAAUUGAAAUCCCACGGCUUAACCGUGGUUCCGGUUUUGAUACUGCCAAUCUUGAGUGAGGUAGAGGUAAGCGGAAUUCCUGGUGUAGCGGUGAAAUGCGUAGAUAUCAGGAGGAACACCAAAGGCGAAGGCAGCUUACUGGACCUAUACUGACGCUGAGGAACGAAAGCGUGGGGAGCGAACAGGAUUAGAGACCCUGGUAGUCCACGCCGUAAACGAUGAGUACUUGGUGGUGGGGGAUUCGACCCCUUCACUGUCGGAGCUAACGCGUUAAGUACUCCGCCUGGGGACUACGACCGCAAGGUUGAAACUCAAAGGAAUUGACGGGGACCCGCACAAGCGGUGGAUUAUGUGGUUUAAUUCGAUGCAACGCGAAGAACCUUACCUGGGCUUGACAUGUAGGUGAAAGUUCUGUGAAAGCAGAACCCUCUGCGAGCUUGCUCAAAGA